rnacentral:rRNA from 1 species
UUGAACGCUGGCGGCAUGCCUUACCCAUGCAAGUCGCACGGCAGCACGGGUGCUUGCACCUGGUGGCGAGUGGCGAACGGGUGAGUAAUACAUCGGAACAUGUCCUGUAGUGGGGGAUAGCCCGGCGAAAGCCGGAUUAAUACCGCAUACGAUCUACGGAUGAAAGCGGGGGACCUUCGGGCCUCGCGCUAUAGGGUUGGCCGAUGGCUGAUUAGCUAGUUGGUGGGGUAAAGGCCUACCAAGGCGACGAUCAGUAGCUGGUCUGAGAGGACGACCAGCCACACUGGGACUGAGACACGGCCCAGACUCCUACGGGAGGCAGCAGUGGGGAAUUUUGGACAAUGGGCGAAAGCCUGAUCCAGCAAUGCCGCGUGUGUGAAGAAGGCCUUCGGGUUGUAAAGCACUUUUGUCCGGAAAGAAAUCCUUGGCCCUAAUACGGUCGGGGGAUGACGGUACCGGAAGAAUAAGCACCGGCUAACUACGUG